GUAUAAUUUAAUUCAUGAUUAACUGAUUCAAUUAGAAUUACAGAUUGUAAACAAAAAGAAAACAAAUAAAUGUAUUCUGUCCUGUAAAUAGGUUAAAUGCCACAAAAACAAUACAAAUACAAGUAUUAAAGAAGUGCUUUAGAGAAAUUGUAAAUUUAACCAGUUACUAGCAAAAGUUGCAUAACAAAUGUGAAAUUAAAACUAUGUGUCUUGCAAUAAUGUAUAAAAAAAAUUGAAUUACUUGCAUGUACAUUUCUACAAAAAUAGCAAUUUCUAUGAAAUUGAAUUAAUAAUUUGUAUAGUAGACCAUAAUUAUCAGUAAAAUUAUGCACUGGUAUUUUGUAAAUUGUGUCCAUACAACCAUAAUGAACUCUUAAAAUUUAUAUAAUAUUUUCAAUAAAAAUUACUACAGCAUCCUGCAUGAAUCAAAAUGUCAUGUAACCUAUUACAAUUUUUUUCAAAGAUUCAUAGACUUAAACAUGUACAUAAAUUACAAUUAACACUACUUACUUACUUCAGAGUAUUAUAUAAACCUUCAUACAAGUAUGAGGGUCUGGAUGGGGGAGAGAGGGGGGGUCCUACACUAUUUUAUAAUUGAAUUUUUACGCUAUUUUCUUUAUCCUGUAUUUUUUUACCCCUUUAUUCUAUAUUCUUUUUAUUUCAACACACCAUUCUCUUUCUUUAUAUUUUUGAAUUGUCUAUCUUUCUCUUAUUUGUUUGUCUUUCAUUCUACAGUUUUUGUUCAUUUAAGGAAUGGCUGUAAUAUUUUUUCUGUCUAUGAAGAAAUAACAUAAAAAAUUUGAUGCACACUGAAUAACGCGCGUAGUGGGUUAUUUAACAGUGUGCACCACAUUUUUUAUGUUAUUUCGAAUAGACAGAAAAAAUAUUACAGUCAUUUCUUAUAAUUUAAUUCUGAAUUCCAUUUUAAACCGUAGAAAACCAUGAAAAAACGUUGAUGACGUCACGGUCACAUGACUAAAUAAUGUCUAUGGGCUGAUAACAAAAUAACUUCAGCCAAUCAGAAGACAUGUAAAAUCCAAAAUUAAAUUAUUAUUCUGUAUUCUGAAAACCCCAUUCAGACCCUCUAGGAUAUACUCUAGUACUGCAUGGCAGAUAUAAGUAUUCAUCAUCUUUCACAAUUUCUUUUUUUGUACAUUUUGAACAGAUAUUAAACUUCAACUGAGAUUUCCUCCAUCCUUCAUUUUCAUACAAACAUUCUUAUCUAAAAAUAAUUACAUGUCAACAUAUAUGUUUUAUCUAAAGCACCAAAAAAUAAAAACAAUUUCCUUCUACUAUCUACAAAUAUUUAAAAACUACUCUACAAAAUUUUUAUAAAUCUAUACAAAAUGUAUAUCAAUCCAUGAAAUACAAAAUAUCUUUCGAAAAAAAGUAAAUAUUUUGUUUACUGGAAAAAAAACUUGUUAGCAACGGAAAAAUUGGGAAUUAGAUGUUUUCUGG
rnacentral:lncRNA from 1 species